UACGGAGGGUGCGAGCGUUAAUCGGAAUCACUGGGCGUAAAGGGCGCGUAGGCGGCCUGGUUAGUCGGGUGUGAAAGCCCGAGGCUCAACCUCGGAAUUGCAUUCGAUACUGCUGGGCUUGAGGCAGGUAGGGGAGGAUGGAGUUCCCGGUGUAGCGGUGGAAUGCGCAGAUAUCGGGAGAAACACCUGCGGCGAAGGCGGUCCUCUGGGCCUGUCCUGACGCUGAGGAGCGAAAGCGUGGGGAGCGAACAGGAUUAGAAACCCUAGUAGU
rnacentral:rRNA from 1 species